GAUGAACGCUGGCGGCGUGCCUAAUACAUGCAAGUCGAGCGAACGGACGAGAAGCUUGCUUUUCUGAUGUUAGCGGCGGACGGGUGAGUAACACGUGGAUAACCUACCUAUAAGACUGGGAUAACUUCGGGAAACCGGAGCUAAUACCGGAUAAUAUUUUGAACCGCAUGGUUCAAAAGUGAAAGACGGUCUUGCUGUCACUUAUAGAUGGAUCCGCGCUGCAUUAGCUAGUUGGUAAGGUAACGGCUUACCAAGGCAACGAUGCAUAGCCGACCUGAGAGGGGGAUCGGCCACACUGGAACUGAGACAAGGUCCAGACUCCUACGGGAGGCAGCAGUAGGGAAUCUUCCGCAACGGGCGAAAGCCUGACGGAGCAACGCCGCGUGAGUGAUGAAGGUCUUCGGAUCGUAAAACUCUGUUAUUAGGGAAGAACAUAUGUGUAAGUAACUGUGCACAUCUUGACGGUACCUAAUCAGAAAGCCACGGCUAACUACGUG
rnacentral:rRNA from 1 species